GACGAACGCUGGCGGCGUGCUUAACACAUGCAAGUCGAACGGAAAGGCCCUGCUUUUGUGGGGUGCUCGAGUGGCGAACGGGUGAGUAACACGUGAGUAACCUGCCCUUGACUUUGGGAUAACUUCAGGAAACUGGGGCUAAUACCGGAUAGGAGCUCCUGCUGCAUGGUGGGGGUUGGAAAGUUUCGGCGGUUGGGGAUGGACUCGCGGCUUAUCAGCUUGUUGGUGGGGUAGUGGCUUACCAAGGCUUUGACGGGUAGCCGGCCUGAGAGGGUGACCGGCCACAUUGGGACUGAGAUACGGCCCAGACUCCUACGGGAGGCAGCAGUGGGGAAUAUUGCACAAUGGGCGGAAGCCUGAUGCAGCAACGCCGCGUGCGGGAUGGCGGCCUUCGGGUUGUAAACCACUUUCGCCUGUGACGAAGCGUGAGUGACGGUAAUGGGUAAAGAAGCACCGGCUAACUACGUG
rnacentral:rRNA from 1 species